rnacentral:lncRNA from 1 species
GAAAGAGGUUCCCUUCUUGUUUAUCUUUGUUGUGCAUGCUACUACUGCUUCUCACAAAAUGACUUCACGUAUGGUGUUACUUUUUCUUUUUCUCCUAGGUUUGGUCAUGGUGAUACAAUCAUCAUCAGGACAUGACAUUACAAAUUCCGUUGAUCCUAAUCUUAAAAAUAUCGGGCAAAUCACUGAUGUUGAUGAUGAGAUGAAGUUAGGCUCUGAAUCCAAUCGUCGCCAACUGUAUAAAUCGCGCUAUAUUAGUUAUGCCGCAUUAAGGGAGGACAACCUCCGAUGCAACAAACGCGACGGUUCUUACAACAUUUGUCAUAAACGCCAGAUUGCUAAUGCAUACCGUCGUGGCUGCACCAAGGCCAACAGAUGUGCGAGAGCUUAUGAUAAUUAGUAAUGCUAAAAGAUUUCAUAUAUGCAGUUAUAAGGAAUUAUUUUAGCUUCGAUCUAUUGUAAUGGUAAGUUAUAUAUAUGAUUGUUGGAAUAAAGAACAAGCCUUAGUAAUAUGGCUUGUUAAUUAUCUGGAUUUUACAAUGUUGAUUAGAUAGUCAUUGAGCAUUGUACUCUAUUGUCCGUUCAUUUCUAUUAUGGUAUUUUGUAUCAUUAUGAAAUGAAAUUAUAUACUAUUCAGUUUCUUGUUGGUUGAUGCGAAUAA